rnacentral:misc_RNA from 1 species
AAGUCGUAACAAGGUUUCCGUAGGUGAACCUGCGGAAGGAUCAUUAACACGUAUCCAACGUUAAAAACACCCCUGUGAACCCGUUAAUCUUGCUCCUCACGCCCUGCACGCCUAGCAAUCCCUGGUAAAUCAUGUUAACAAUGGAUAUCUUGGUUCUC